rnacentral:misc_RNA from 1 species
GAUGAAGAACGUAGCGAAAUGCGAUACGUAAUGUGAAUUGCAGAAUUCAGUGAAUCAUCGAAUCUUUGAACGCAUAUUGCGCUCUCUGGUAUUCCGGAGAGCAUGCUUGUUUGAGUAUCAGUAAACACCUCAACUUCCAUAUCUUUUUUGAAAUGGGAGUUGGACUUGAGUGAUCCCAACGCUUUUCCUCACCGAAAAGUGGCGGGUUACUUGAAAUGCAGGUGCAGCUUGACUUUUCUCUGAGCUAUAAGCAUAUCUAUUUAGUCUGCCUAAAAAACAGAUUAUUACCUUUGCUGCAGCUAACAUAAAGGAGAUUAGUUCUUGUGCUGACUGAUGCAGGAUUCACAAAGACAGGCUUCGGCCGACUUUGUAAACUCGAUCUCAAAUCAAGUAAGACUACCCGCUGAACUUAAGCAUAUCAAAAGCGGAGGA